rnacentral:rRNA from 1 species
UUAGAAGGUGAUCCUGGCUCAGGAUGAACGCUGGCGGCGUGCCUAAUACAUGCAAGUCGAGCGAAUGGAUUGAGAGCUUGCUCUCAAGAAGUUAGCGGCGGACGGGUGAGUAACACGUGGGUAACCUGCCCAUAAUAAGACUGGGAUAACUCCGGGAAACCGGGGCUAAUACCGGAUAAUAUUUUGAACUGCAUGGUUCGAAAUUGAAAGGCGGCUUCGGCUGUCACUUAUGGAUGGACCCGCGUCGCAUUAGCUAGUUGGUGAGGUAAGUUGAACCGGCUCACCAAGGCAACGAUGCGUAGCCGACCUGAGAGGGUGAUCGGCCACACUGGGACUGAGACACGGCCCAGACUCCUACGGGAGGCAGCAGUAGGGAAUCUUCCGCAAUGGACGAAAGUCUGACGGAGCAACGCCGCGUGAGUGAUGAAGGCUUUCGGGUCGUAAAACUCUGUUGUUAGGGAAGAACAAGUGCUAGUUGAAUAAGCUGGCACCUUGACGGUACCUAACCAGAAAGCCACGGCUAACUACGUGC